UGCCCUAAAAUAGUAUCUUCUAUGGAAACAAAAUAUAGAAAUAGCCUCAUUAAGAAUAAAACACCAUCAGUUUUGAUUUUGCAUGUUAGUGGAGGAAACCAGUAGUUUAGAAAAUCUAAAAUAAUUCUAUAUGGCUUUGGAAUUUACUAUAUAUGCUUUUAAUAUAUAAAUGUCUAGUUGUGCCAGAAGUUUGGUAUCUCAAAAACAGAAAAUUAAGCCCCGGUAUGGAGCCAACAAGUCUCUACAUUCUCUGAUCUACUAAUCUACUGUUGUUUAGUCUCUUCUCUUGUUGCUGUGCUGGAGAUUGACAGCACUGGUACCCAGACUGAUACAAAUCAUGUCUUAACAGUUAACAGGUCUGCUUCUUUGUGUUUUAUUUUAGGAUGGAUUUUCUUCAUUGUAAGAGGACAGCAGUAAUUAUUUUGGUUUAAAUAUUCUUUUCUGAUUUCUAUGGUCUAUUAAGUGAUUCAAGGAGAGAAGACUUGUAACUAAAAGUAAGAUUUGUGACAAACAAGUAUCCAGGGUUUUACAUCUAGUCGUCCUGUACUCUUCAAUGAGGAUCUAUUUCGUCCUGUUUACAAGUUUGAUCAACUGCAGCUGAAAGAGUUUUAUCUCCAGACAAAAAUGACUGAAGAUGAUGGUUAAAGAUUUCUUUUAUUAUAAAACUUGCUAUUUUUGAAACAGCUGCAGAAAUAGAAUGUGAAGAUGAUGACAAAUCCCCAGAAAACAGUGGAUGAAGGAGGUAAUCUGCAAUAGC